rnacentral:rRNA from 1 species
ACACAUAUAUCCGCCCGGGUACUACGAGCACAGCUUAAAACCCAAAGGACUUGGCGGUGUCUCAGACCCACCUAGAGGAGCCUGUUCUAGAACCGAUAACCCCCGUUAAACCUCACCACUUCUUGUUUUCCCCGCCUAUAUACCGCCGUCGUCAGCUUACCCUGUGAAGGUCUAGUAGUAAGCUAAAUGGGCCCGCCCAAAAACGUCAGGUCGAGGUGUAGCGUACGAAGUGGAAAGAAAUGGGCUACAUUUUCUAUAUAUAGAAUAUUACGAAUAGUACAUUGAAACCAUGUACUUGAAGGUGGAUUUAGUAGUAAAAAGCAAAUAGAGUGUCCCUUUGAACUAGGCUCUGAGACGCGCACACACCGCCCGUCACUCUCCCCAACACCUUAUCUUAACAAUACAUAAUAAAUCAACUAUAAACACGGGGAGGCAAGUCGUAACAUGGUAAGUGUACCGGAAGGUGCACUUGGAAUAAU